GUAGAGAGAAGCUUGCUUCUCUUGAGAGCGGCGGACGGGUGAGUAAUACCUAGGAAUCUGCCUGAUAGUGGGGGAUAACGUUCGGAAACGGACGCUAAUACCGCAUACGUCCUACGGGAGAAAGCAGGGGACCUUCGGGCCUUGCGCUAUCAGAUGAGCCUAGGUCGGAUUAGCUAGUUGGUGAGGUAAUGGCUCACCAAGGCUACGAUCCGUAACUGGUCUGAGAGGAUGAUCAGUCACACUGGAACUGAGACACGGUCCAGACUCCUACGGGAGGCAGCAGUGGGGAAUAUUGGACAAUGGGCGAAAGCCUGAUCCAGCCAUGCCGCGUGUGUGAAGAAGGUCUUCGGAUUGUAAAGCACUUUAAGUUGGGAGGAAGGGCAGUUACCUAAUACGUGAUUGUCUUGACGUUACCGACAGAAUAAGCACCGGCUAACUCUGUGCCAGCAGCCGCGGUAAUACAGAGGGUGCAAGCGUUAAUCGGAAUUACUGGGCGUAAAGCGCGCGUAGGUGGUUUGUUAAGUUGAAUGUGAAAUCCCCGGGCUCAACCUGGGAACUGCAUCCAAAACUGGCAAGCUAGAGUAUGGUAGAGGGUAGUGGAAUUUCCUGUGUAGCGGUGAAAUGCGUAGAUAUAGGAAGGAACACCAGUGGCGAAGGCGACUACCUGGACUGAUACUGACACUGAGGUGCGA
rnacentral:rRNA from 1 species